UGUCCCCUGCGGUGUACGCCAAGACCCGGAAAAUUCUUGAACCAACAGCUUGAAUUGGGUUGCUGACCCUAGUGUCACUGUUGUGCGCGUCCCUAGUCGGAUGUACCUGAUGUGACCGGAAAGCGACCACCUUGAAUCGAAAGGUUCAGGAAUCGGUUCUAGCGGCAUCGGCGGGGGACUC
rnacentral:other from 1 species